UAAGAGGUCCCGCCUGCCCUGUGACUAUUUGUUUAACGGCCGCGGUAUUUUGACCGUGCAAAGGUAGCGCAAUCACUUGUCUUUUAAAUGAAGACCCGUAUGAAUGGCAUAACGAGGGCUUAGCUGUCUCCUCUUUCCAGUCAAUGAAGUUGAUCUUCCCGUGCAGAAGCGGGAAUAUAAUCAUAAGACGAGAAGACCCUAUGGAGCUUUAGACACAAAAGCAGCCCACGUUAAACACCCCAAAUAAGGGACUAAACCAAGGGGGCCCUGCCCUAAUGUCUUUGGUUGGGGCGACCGCGGGGAAUUAAAGAACCCCCACGUGGAAUGGGCACACUUUUCCUACAACUAAGAGCUACAGCUCUAGAAAACAGAAUUUCUGACCAACAAGAUCCGGCAAUGCCGAUCAACGGACCGAGUUACCCUAGGGAUAACAGCGCAAUCCUCUUUUAGAGCCCAUAUCGACAAGGGGGUUUACGACCUCGAUGUUGGAUCAGGACAUCCUAAUGGUGCAGCCGCUAUUAAGGGUUCGUU
rnacentral:rRNA from 1 species